GAAUGCAGGUCUUACUGGCAUACAAUAUAUCGAUCUCCAUCCUCUACAAUGCAUCUUGAAUCCUGUCAAGAUAUCUUCUGUGACUGAUCCAUAUAUCCAUCCAAUCUGUUCAUAUUGCAAAAAGUUUUCAUCAUUUAAUUAGAUUCGGCUAAUCCUCCAUUUUCCAUUAAAGUGGAUUCUAUAAACACAGAUGACAUGCCAAAAGUUUUCUCAAAGCUCAUUUGAGAGAUGAGUAAUGACCUCUCAUAAUCAUCAUAACCUGCACAAACAUCCCAUUCACUCAGGUGUUGUUUCAAUCUGUAUAUGAGCUAUGUAUGAGUGUUCCUUUUUUACUGCAGAAAGAAAAUAAAUAUGUCUUACUUUCAA